GUGCUCGCUUUGGCAGCACAUAUACUAAAAUUGGAACAAUACAGAGAAGAUUAGCAUAGCCCUACAAAAGGAUGAAUUGUGUACAUAUAAAUCUUCACAUUCACUA
ensembl:snRNA U6 U6 spliceosomal RNA